UACAGAGGGGGCAAGCGUUGUUCGGAAUUACUGGGCGUAAAGGGCGCGUAGGCGGCCUGUUAAGUCGAACGUGAAAUCCCCGGGCUCAACCCGGGAACUGCGUCCGAUACUGGCAGGCUUGAAUCCGGGAGAGGGAUGCAGAAUUCCAGGUGUAGCGGUGAAAUGCGUAGAUAUCUGGAGGAACACCGGUGGCGAAGGCGGCAUCCUGGACCGGCAUUGACGCUGAGGCGCGAAAGCCAGGGGAGCAAACGGG
rnacentral:rRNA from 1 species